GGCGCCGACCCCGCCCGCGCCGACUCCGACGGCAUGAGCAGCCUGCACAAGGCCGCGGCGCAAGGCCACGAGGAGCUGUGCGCCCUGCUGCUGCAGCACAGCCCGGACCUGCGCAGCGCCCGCGACGUCCGCUCCAGGACCCCGCGCGACUUGGCGCCGCCCCGCGCAGCCCUGCAGCAUCUGCUGGCACCGUGAGGCCCGCCUGGGCCUGGGCCUGGGCCCCGCCGUGGAUGCCGCAGACAGCCCGACCCACGGCCCGUGCCCUGCAGCCGGGACCAGGCCCCCGGCCCCUCCGGACUGCGGCCUGGACCUGGCCUUACAGAGGUGUGAGGGGCGGUGAAGCCACAGCAGCCAUGUUGGUUGUGGGCACCAAGCCUACUGUGCUCAACAGAAGUCGAGUUGCUUGUGGGCACAAGGGGGCUUGGCCUGCUAAUGCACCCAUAUUGGUUGUGGGCACAGGGGCUCGACCUGCUGAAGGGGUGAAGCUGCAGCAGCCAUAUUGCUUGUGGCUAUGGGGGACUGGCACUGCUGUACCCCCCCACACUGGCAGUGAAAGCCCUGCAGAGCC